CGAAUAUGAUUUUGCUAACUCUUGACAUACUCUUCAUUAAUGUUUGACAAGUUUAUGACACAGUCACAAGCUUAUAAACUGCCUUAUUUAAAUUGAUGUGGACUAAUGACAUGAUUAUGCAACUCUAGCUGAUGUCCCGCCAUUGGCAAGGCUUGGGAACACAGGACGACGCAUGUCUCAACAAUAAGCAUAUAGGCUGAUGACUGAGUUUUAUCAGCUCAUCUUCCAUCACCCAUCCAAUCAAAAAGAAAAGAAAUGAAAAAUGAGCUGUCUGAGCCUGGACCAUCUCUCACAGUUCGAAGAACAACUGCAAACAGAUAAGCCUGAAAGCUUUUCAGCUGUUGACAGGAAGAGGUGUCCAUGGAGAAAUAUGAUGUUUGCACAACUGGCACUCCAAUCACCUGGGCUUUCUCUGGGUAUUGGGUAACGGGGAGGAUCCAGGAGACGGUCUGCUUUAAAUCCCGCAAUUUGAAAUAAGACUGGCUUAACAAAGAAGGAAUUAAUCUAUCAUUGUUAAAUGAUACAAUAUUCUUCUACGCUUUAUGUUGCUAGUAACAGCGCUAAAAACGUGUUGGCUUUCACAAGUGACAAGUGACAGGGCACCUGUAUUUAACAAAGCCUUCCUAUUGCAGAUCCUGGAACCAACGUAGUACCAGGAGUCCGCACUUCCUGGUGUCUUAUUUGUUAAUAACAAGCCUCUUUUUCUAAGAAUUCACAAUGGUUUGUGAUCCAAGAAUUUAAAUGGCUUUAAAUGGGAUUUUAUCUUACUGUUCUGUAAGUGAACAAAAUCUACCUGAUUUUACAAAUUAUACUAUAUGGUCAAAAAAGUAUCAGGUCACCCCUUUAAUCCCGUGACCUCCGGAAGAUUUUACCCUCUUCAUUACCAGACCAUAUUUUUACAUUCGGCAUUGUGCAGUCAUGCAACACUGUAUGCAAAUUAAAUUGUUA